rnacentral:lncRNA from 1 species
GCACUUGUUAGUUUUUGCCAGUAUCACUUCAGUGAACUUGCUGGCAGCUUUUGGGCAUGAACAAGAAGCAGUAUGACAUGCAGACUUGUGUCUGCCUGCAUGAAUUUCACUUCUUUAAAUAAAAAAUCCAGUAAAUGAAAACUAUCCGGAUACGCUUGCGAUAAAUGAAAGGCUGACUCAAUGUCUGCUAUAGCCAUUAAUGAGCUUUUCCUACACUCCCUAAUCAUCUUGAUUGUCUUAUUGAAUGAAAUGUAUGACACAGGCCUUGUGUGGAAUCUCAAUCAGGCUCAAGCACUUGCUUCUGUUCUUCUUCGGGCCUUUCCUGGUCUUUUUUCCCUUGUUUUGCUGAGUCCUGAUGAACCCAAAUGCUGCCUGUUGGUGUUGAGAUAAGGAGAGCCACCCAUGCGGACCCAGGUGCUGUAGCCUCUCUUUUCUAAGAAGGCAGAUGAAUUCAUGAAGCAGAAAGCGAGCAGAGGUUUGCUCUCAGCUCUCUGCAGCUUCUGGGACCUGAGAACAGCAGUCCAUCAGUGCAGCAUGCUCUCCAAUGUCCUACUCAAAGACGGCACUCGACUGGGCAGUGAAGCACGGCAAUCUUGAGAUGGCAGAGAUGGUCGCCAAAGCAGGCGUCGAUGUCAAUGCUAAAUCCUCUUUCCACUCUUCAUUUAAUGGUGAAAAAUGUAACACGUACUCAAGAGCCACUAUGAAGCAGCCAGUCUGGGGGAAGCAGCUGAUGUGUAAUUCCGUAGCAGCCUUUGUGCCAUUCUAUCUCAAACCUCAUCCUUGGUGGAAGCUGGUAAUGCCGAAUACAGGAGGAGCUCCCUCAGCUCUGCGCUGGAGCACAGCAGAUACAAGAAGGGGAAGGUUGAACACCUCAGCCUUGAGUCAAGCACGGUUGGCAGCUUUUCAGCAGGAUCUUUCCAUGCAGCUGUGUUAAAGCUUUAACCAUCAGCACCCAGCCUUGUUUUUCGGUCUAAGCUCCACAAGGUUUGGUGCCUGAUGGUUGGUGUGCCAGGCAUGGGUACUCGAGCAGUGUGAAGAGCAGGAUUGACUCCAGGAAGUGGUGCAGAUGUUUGACAGCAAUGCCCAAAG